rnacentral:rRNA from 1 species
UACGUAGGGUGCGAGCGUUGUCCGGAAUUAUUGGGCGUAAAGAGCUUGUAGGCGGUUUGUCGCGUCUGCCGUGAAAAUUCGAGGCUCAACCUCGAACUUGCGGUGGGUACGGGCAGACUAGAGUGUGGUAGGGGAGACUGGAAUUCCUGGUGUAGCGGUGAAAUGCGCAGAUAUCAGGAGGAACACCGAUGGCGAAGGCAGGUCUCUGGGCCAUAACUGACGCUGAGAAGCGAAAGCAUGGGGAGCGAACAGG